GCCUAUGAUGAUGUUAUCCAAUUAGUGGUGUGGUGGAACUAAGACCCUGUUUACAGGGAGAACCCCUUGGAGAAGCCAUAUUCCCAUGACAAUAAUGGAUCUUACCGAGGC